rnacentral:rRNA from 1 species
GACGAACGCUGGCGGCGUGCUUAAUACAUGCAAGUCGAACGGAAAGGUCCUGCUCUUGUUGCGUGCUCGUGUGGCGAAGGGGUGAGUAACACGUGUGUAACCUGCCCUUGAAUUUGGGAUAAAUUCAGGAAACUCGGGCUAAUACCGGAUAGGAGCUCCUGCUGCAUGUGGGGGGUUGGAAAGUUUCGGCGGUUGGGGAUCGUCUCGCGGCUUAUCGGCUAGUUGGUGAGGUAGUGGCUUACCAAGGCUUUGACGGGUAGCCCGCCUGGGAGGGUGAACGGCCACAUUGGGACUGAGGUAGGGACCAGAAUGGUACGGUAGGCAGCGGUGGGGAGUAUUACACAGUAGGCGGGAGCCAGAUGUAGCGGUGCCGCGAGCGGGAUGACGUCCUACGGGUUGUAAACCGCUUUCGCCUGUGCCGAACCGUGAGUGACGGUAAUGGGUAAGGAAGCACCGGCUAACUACGUG